AUUGAACGCUGGCGGCAGGCCUAACACAUGCAAGUCGAACGAGUGGCGGACGGGUGAGUAAUGUCUGGGAAACUGUCCGUUGGAGGGGGAUAACUACUGGAAACGGUAUCUAAUACCGCAUACCAUCGGAUGUGCCCAGAUGGGAUUAGCUAGUAGGUGGGGUAACGGCUCACCUAGGCGACGAUCCCUAGCUGGUCUGAGAGGAUGACCAGCCACACUGGAACUGAGACACGGUCCAGACUCCUACGGGAGGCAGCAGUGGGGAAUAUUGCACAAUGGGCGCAAGCCUGAUGCAGCCAUGCCGCGUGUAUGAAGAAGGCCUUCGGGUUGUAAAGUACUUUCAGCGGGGAGGCGUUACUCGCAGAAGAAGCACCGGCUAACUCCGUGCCAGCAGCCGCGGUAAUUC
rnacentral:rRNA from 1 species